UUUUUUUUACCGCUUUUGGCUUCAUUUUGUCCUCCGUUACCUUUGGGGGAAUUCCUGGAGUCCUAGUUUUGAGUGGCCCUAAAUGAAAGCAAGUGUUAACCUUUCUUGAGAAAAAUGAAACCACUUUUGUAAUUUGCUGGCUUGUGGGUGGCUACAGCGGCACCUAAUGGCGCGAUGUGCCCUCUGCAGCUUGACUUUCUAGACUUAGCGGAUCUGCUAGUCCUCAAAUCCACAUCUCCCGAUUCCACUAAUGCGCAGCGAACAUUUUAACGUAGCUAAACAUUGCCUCUUGGAAAAGAUCAGGAACUCUAUCCACUGGGGUUUUCUACCCGGCUUAAUAUACGAGGGUGAAAGAGACGCUACCUAAAACUGGGUAACAAACAGGAGGUGGGGGGAGUCCCAGAGUUCUUCCGAAGCCUCCCUGUGUCCUGGAUAGCCUUGUCCCCAGUGACUUCCUCAUUCCCUAGGAUUUUAGUCCAAGGAAGAGGAGUUCAAAGGAAUUUACAUUUCUGUGCUUGUCCUUCGCCUGAUUUCAGCCUACAAUCACCCGUGAAACGGAAUCUUCCAUUGUACAAGCGAAUGUCCUGAGAAUUGAGAUUAAGCAGCCCUUUACAUCAAUAAAUACUAUAUGGAAUAUAUAUCACGGAUAUGGAAGAACGAAGAAUCAUCUUCAGAAAACCAGCUGGCACUCUUAAAGUUAGAAGAGAAUCACGACAUUGCUGCCUGUGGUCCUUCCCAGACGAGGGAAAGCCAGGGCCGCCCUACAGACGGCUGUGCUGUUGCCAACAACUUCCAAGACAAUCAAUCUCAUUUCAGAAAAGAACGAUCCUCGAAGGAAAUACAGAUAACCGCAAAAUAAGAAAUCUUUAUACCAAAUAAAUGUGGUCCUUUCUACCAAAUAAAUUUAAUUAACUUUUAAUAUUAAGGAAAACUUACUAUGCUGACCUUACGUUUCUCAUUUUGACACAGAAUGCAGAGAAAAGUGGCCGGGACUAACACUAUUCUUAGAUGAGCAUCUGGGAACCACUGAUUUGUUCAAGUCCCUUCAUUUCAGAAUUUUAAAAAAUGUCUCUGAAUCAGCUCAGCUAAUCAGAGAAGGGGCCCGGGUUAAAACAGAUUUCUUGACUAUUUCCCCUAAAAUUAUACCUACUUCUCACUUCCACAUGUUUGAAGACUUAUAUUCUAUUAUUGUAAGUAAUCCGCACACAUAUUAAUAUCAUUAGCAGAAUAUUAUGAAGUAAUCCACACAAUGAAAAUUCUACUUGAUCUUUCAUAUUCCAGCAAAGCAUCCUGUAAUGUUUUUAAGGCAGUCAACAAAGCAACUGUCAACCAAUAGACAGAUGAAUCGUGACAUAAUCAGGCAUGAUCACACGCUCUAACAUUGCUAUGAAAGCAAACGAGCUUUAGCCACACGUGACAACGUGGCAACUCAGAAUAAAGCAAUUCCCAGAAACCAGAUGUGAUCUAAUACUGUGUCAAUCCAUUUAGGCUAACUGUGCCGUGAUAAACAAUCCCCAGAUCCCAGUGACUUACUACAAUGAAGGUUCUUGUUUUGCUCAUG